ensembl:lncRNA
CUGCCUGAUCCGGCUGUAGUGCACAUAUGAUUUGGGCUGACAAUCCAGAUCUUAGCCGGAUGAUGCUAUAACCAUUAGGUCUUACUGGUUUUGGGCCAUACACGUAUGACGGGCCAUAGCCGAUAACGCCAAACCCUGAGGAAAACCUGCAUUGGCUGGUUUGGGCCUGACCUGGCCCUGACAAGUAGUGCGGACGUCCUCCUAGCCCGCCAAAAUCUUAGUUGGACUGGUAGAAAUUAAAAUAUCUACUGUACAUUUUACAACAAAUGCCAACAUAUUUGGUCCAGUUCACAUUGGAUACAAAACACUCGUUUGUCCUCAGCCGGUUGCAAGCCAUAUUCUGCAUGUGAUUCUGCACAAUGGCAACCUGUCCAGCUAAGACACCAGCCCUCUGAUACUCCCUAAUGGAAGAAAUGGCCUACAGUUUAGCAGCCCAACUUACGCACCAGGAUACCAGGACACACAAGGGUUUACUGCUGCCAGUCUUCAGGACUGAAUAAACAGAACCUUCACCAAACCCAACUCUUCUUUGGCACUACGCUUUGCUGAGUGCCUGGGCACUGCAAUUAGCUGUGUUGUAUUGGCAAUACAGCUCCAGAAAAGAUUAAGAGACCACUGC